GGGGAUUGUGGCUUAGUGGCAGAACAUCCACAUGGCAUGCAGAAGGUCCCAGAUUCGAACCCUGGCAUCUCCA
rnacentral:tRNA from 1 species